UACCCCCUGGUGCUUACCACUGGCUGUGUUCUUACACCGACUGCACCGAAAAAGGAGGCAGAGUAAACCUACCCAUAUACCCCAGCCCAGGCCCUUUGCCUGGUCUGUAUUGUGAAUGGGAGGAAUGG
ensembl:snoRNA